rnacentral:rRNA from 1 species
GAUGAACGCUGGCGGCGUGCCUAAUACAUGCAAGUCGAGCGAACAGACGAGGAGCUUGCUCCUUAGACGUUAGCGGCGGACGGGUGAGUAACACGUGGGUAACCUACCUAUAAGACUGGGAUAACUUCGGGAAACCGGAGCUAAUACCGGAUAAUAUUUCGAACCGCAUGGUUCGAUAGUGAAAGAUGGCUUUGCUAUCGCUUAUAGAUGGACCUGCGCCGUAUUAGCUAGUUGGUAAGGUAACGGCUUACCAAGGCAACGAUACGUAGCCGACCUGAGAGAGUGAUAGGCCACACUGGAGCUGGGACACGGUCCAGGGGCCUACGGGACGCAGCAGUAGGGAAUCUGACGCAAUAGGCGAAAGCCUUACAGAGCAACGGCAAGUCAGUGAUGGAGGUCUUGGGAUCGUAAUACCCUGUUAUUAGGGAAAAACAACUGUGUAAAUAAAUGAGGAGGUCUUGACGGUACCUGAUGAGAAAGCCACGGCUAACUACGUG